UACAGAGGGUGCGAGCGUUGUCCGGAAUCACUGGGCGUAAAGGGCGCGUAGGUGGCGCCGCAAGUCGAUGGUGAAAGCUCGCCGCUCAACGGCGAGUCGGCCACCGAUACUGGGUUGCUGGAGCACUGUAGAGGCUCAUGGAAUUCCGGGUGUAGCGGUGGAAUGCGUAGAGAUCCGGAAGAACACCGGUGGCGAAGGCGGUGAGCUGGGCAGUUGCUGACACUGAGGCGCGACAGCGUGGGGAGCAAACAGG
rnacentral:rRNA from 1 species